GACGAACGCUGGCGGCGUGCCUAAUACAUGCAAGUCGAGCGAUGAAGCUUGGUGCUUGCACCAAUUUGAAGAGCAGCGAACGGGUGAGUAACGCGUGGGGAAUCUGCCUUUGAGCGGGGGACAACAUUUGGACACGAAUGCUAAUACCGCAUAACAACUUUAAACAUAAGUUUUAAGUUUGAAAGAUGCAAUUGCAUCACUCAAAGAUGAUCCCGCGUUGUAUUAGCUAGUUGGUGAGGUAAAGGCUCACCAAGGCGAGGAUACAUAGCCGACCUGAGAGGGUGAUCAGCCGGAUUGGGAGUGAGACACGGCCCAAACUGCUACGGGAGGCAGCCGGAGGGAAUCUGGGGCAAUGAGUGAAGGUCAGGGCAAGAAACGCCGCGUGAGUGAGGAAGCUUGUCGGGUGGUGAAAGUCUGUUGGUGGGUAGGAACGUGGGUGAGCGUGGAAAGCUCAGCGAGUGACGGUAACUACUCAGAAAGCGACGGCUAACUACGUG
rnacentral:rRNA from 1 species